rnacentral:rRNA from 1 species
CGGCCCAGACUCCUACGGGAGGCAGCAGUGAGGAAUAUUGGUCAAUGGACGAGAGUCUGAACCAGCCAAGUCGCGUGAAGGAAGACGGCCCUAAGGGUUGUAAACUUCUUUUGUAGAGGGAUAAAAUGUUCUACGUGUAGGAUAUUGCAAGUACUUUACGAAUAAGGAUCGGCUAACUUCGUGCCAGCAGCCGCGGUAA